rnacentral:rRNA from 1 species
GGAUGACGGCCUUCGGGUUGUAAACCUCUUUCAGUACCGACGAAGCGCAAGUGACGGUAGGUACAGAAGAAGCACCGGCCAACUACGUGCCAGCAGCCGCGGUAAUACGUAGGGUGCGAGCGUUGUCCGGAAUUAUUGGGCGUAAAGGGCUCGUAGGCGGUUUGUCGCGUCGGGAGUGAAAACGCCGUGCUUAACACGGCGCUUGCUUUCGAUACGGGCAGACUAGAGGUAUUCAGGGGAGAACGGAAUUCCUGGUGUAGCGGUGAAAUGCGCAGAUAUCAGGAGGAACACCGGUGGCGAAGGCGGUUCUCUGGGAAUGACCUGACGCUGAGGAGCGAAAGUGUGGGGAGCGAACAGG